rnacentral:rRNA from 1 species
AUGUUUCUGGAAAAAAAAAUGGAUGUUAAUACUUGGGUUAUGGAAUGGAUGACUGAAGACCGGAGGAUCAAACGCACUGUCGCAAAAUUCUUGGAAUGUUUCAAUUUCCCUCGAUUCAAGAGUGCUAUGCCAAUUAGAUGCGACAUGGAGACGAUGCAGCGGGUGGAGGCAAUUCUGGGCUGCCCUUCCACAUCCUUCCCAUGCAAAUAUCUUGGCCUUCCCCUCACCAUCCGCAAGCAGACCGCGACUCAGCUCAUGGGAUUGGUUGACAACCUCGCCCGCCAGCUGCCGAGUUGGCGAGGCUCAUCCAUGCCGAAAAGUGGGCGACUCCUGCUGGUCAAAUCCGUCCUCUACGCCAUGCCCAUUCACGCCAUGAUGGCACUCGAUGUUCCACAAAAAGUUCUUACGGCAAUGAGGAAGAUUUGUAGAGGAUUUCUUUAG